rnacentral:rRNA from 1 species
CGUAAGCCCGCAGGGUGAGUAGAGUGGCGCACGGGUGAGUAACACGUAAGUAAUCUGCCCUCGAGCGGGGGAUAACGUUCCGAAAGGGACGCUAAUACCGCAUGACCCGGUAGGGACCCAGGUCCCAGCCGGCAAAGAUGGCCUCUGCUUGCACGCUAUCGCUUGAGGAGGAGCUUGCGCCCCAUUAGGUAGUUGGUGAGGUAAUGGCUCACCAAGCCUACGAUGGGUAGCCGGCCUGAGAGGGUAACCGGCCACACUGGCACUGAGACACGGGCCAGACUCCUACGGGAGGCAGCAGUGAGGAAUUUUGGGCAAUGGGCGAAAGCCUGACCCAGCGACGCCGCGUGGGUGAUGAAGGCCUUCGGGUCGUAAAACCUGUGAGUUGGGAAGAAGCCGUUGCGUGCUAAUACCACGUCGCGGUGACAGUACCAACAGAGGAAGCCCCGGCUAACUACGUGCCAGCAGCCGCGGUAAUACGUAGGGGGCUAGCGUUGUUCGGAAUUACUGGGCGUAAAGCGCGUGUAGGCGGCUUGGCAAGUCGGAAGUG